rnacentral:rRNA from 1 species
CGUACACUCCUACGGGAGGCAGCAGUGGGGAAUAUUGCACAAUGGGCGCAAGCCUGAUGCAGCCAUGCCGCGUGUAUGAAGAAGGCCUUCGGGUUGUAAAGUACUUUCAGCGGGGAGGAAGGCGAUAAGGUUAAUAACCUUGUCGAUUGACGUUACCCGCAGAAGAAGCACCGGCUAACUCCGUGCCAGCAGCCGCGGUAAUACGGAGGGUGCAAGCGUUAAUCGGAAUUACUGGGCGUAAAGCGCACGCAGGCGGUCUGUCAAGUCGGAUGUGAAAUCCCCGGGCUCAACCUGGGAACUGCAUUCGAAACUGGCAGGCUAGAGUCUUGUAGAGGGGGGUAGAAUUCCAGGUGUAGCGGUGAAAUGCGUAGAGAUCUGGAGGAAUACCGGUGGCGAAGGCGGCCCCCUGGACAAAGACUGACGCUCAGGUGCGAAAGCGUGGGGAGCAAACAGGAUUAGAAACCCCUGUAGUCCCA